AAACUCCGCCACAGUGAUGGUUCCCGGUAACGGGAUGAAAAGGGAACGCGGUGCGGCCCGCGCCAGAAAUGGCAAGGGUCCAUGCCGCGACUGCCCCCGCAACUGUAGGCGGCGAGCGCCGGUCCUUACAUGCCACUGGGAAACCGGGAAGGCAGGGCCGGGGCAACGACCCGCAAGUCAGGAGACCUGCCGUCACGAGUACGUCCCG
rnacentral:ncRNA from 2 species